UUCCACAGUGAAAGGCAGGAAAAUUAUAUCACUGCAUUUUGGCAUACUCAUACAUCUAGCACUACUAAACCACACAGAUCACUGCAUAGAAGAUCCAGUGUCUAUAGAAAACUGUAGGUAUCCCUGUAGCUUAAGGUGUAUGCACAUUCCAUAGCCACUAUAUCCUCUUCAAAAGAGCAAUCUACUUUUAGCAAGAACUUUUGCCAAUAAAAUGGCAAAUGAUAUUCAGAAAUCAUGAUGGAAUAUUAUCGCAUAACGAAGAAACAUGUAGUAGUCACAGUGAAAGGCAGUGAAAAUUAUAUCACUGCAUUUUGGCAUAUACUCAUAUAUCUAGCACUACUAAACCACACAGAUCUCUGCAUAGAAGAUCCAGUGUCUACAGAAAACUGUAGGCACCCCUGUAGCUUAAGCUGUAUGCACAUUCCAUAGCUUUCAAUUUAAUUCCAACCAAUACUUCCCAAAAAGCUAUCAGAUUCCACAGUGAAAGGCAGGAAAAUUAUAUCACUGCAUUUUGGCAUAUACUCAUAUAUCUAGCACUACUAAACCACACAGAUCACUGCAUAGAAGAUCCAGUGUCUAUAGAAAACUGUAGGUAUCCCUGUAGCUUAAGGUGUAUGCACAUUCCAUAGCCACUAUAUCCUCUUCAAAAGAGCAAUCUACUUUUAGCAAGAACUUUUGCCAAUAAAAUAGCAAAGGAUAUUCAGAAAUCAUGAUGGAAUAUUAUCGCAUAAUGAAGAAACAUGUAGUAGGCUUUCUAGUAACAUA
rnacentral:lncRNA from 1 species